rnacentral:rRNA from 1 species
UACGGAGGGUGCAAGCGUUGCUCGGAAUCAUUGGGCGUAAAGCGCACGUAGGCGGUCCGCUAAGUCGGGUGUGAAAUCCCUCGGCUCAACCGAGGAAGUGCAUUCGAAACUGACGGACUUGAGUAUGGAAGAGGGUCGUGGAAUUCCCGGUGUAGAGGUGAAAUUCGUAGAUAUCGGGAGGAACACCAGUGGCGAAGGCGGCGACCUGGGCCAAUACUGACGCUGAGGUGCGAAAGCGUGGGGAGCAAACAGG